rnacentral:lncRNA from 1 species
CAGACUUCACUCAUUCUUCUCUCACCAUCUCUCUGUGACUAGGGACUGUCCCCUCUUCUGUGAGUUUUUAAAGAGUCUGAGAAUGGAGAAAAAGGACUCCGAAGCUUAUAAGUUUGAAGUUUGGCUGAGUACAAAAUUUCUCAAGUGAACAUUAUUUUCCCGCAUCCCUUUCAAGGCAACCACUGUUGUUGUAUUCAGAAUUACUAAGAGGAAAUCUGGGGAGAGUGCGAUUACAGGUCCUUUGCCCUUUCCUCUACAACCACUGAUGAAUGAGAAAUCUUGGAAAAGAAGCAAACUGGAAGUCAGGAGGGACAUGUCAAGGGAGUUGUGUAUUCCAUUUUUAAAAAUAAAGAAUCUACAAUUCAAAGAUUGUGCCAAAUCAGAGAAGAAAAGGAAAAUUGAGUCUUUAGGGAUUUCUGCAUAUAAGUCUAUGUCAUUUGCAAGCAGAUAUCAUUUUACGUCUUCCUUCUAUACUUGGAUGCCUUUUAUUUCUUUUUGUUGCUUCAUCGCUCUGACUAGACUUCCAGUACUAUAUUGAAUAGAAGUGGUGAGAGUGGGCAUCCUUGCCUUGUUCCCAAUUUAGAGGGCUCUUCGCAAACUCUGGAUACAAGUCCUUUAUCAGAUAUAUGUUUGCAAAUGUUCUCUCUCAGUCUGUGGCUUGUCUUUUCUUUGUGGGUCUUGUUCCUGGACUGGUUUAUAACAAAAAAGAGUAACUCAGGCACUGCCAAGACUUGUUCCUACGAUGUGUGAUCCUAUCAACUCAGAAGAGAAAAUGAUAUGCCUCGAGAUGAAGUAUCCUGGAGACAUUGCCCAGCGUUCUGGCUUUCAAAUGCCUCCUAAAUCAAUCCUAACUCUUUACUUGUCAAUCAAAGAUUCAGGAUCAAUGCACUGAUUUUGUGACUUUUUGACUAAUCUGAGCUAUACUUACCCUUUUCAUCUGAACAUGAUGAGUCUAUGAGUUUUAAUGCCCAACAAAACUAUCUAAGAUUCUUUAUCAUUUUAAGCCAUUAAAAGGCAAGGCAAAUAUAGAAUAUCAUAUAAAAAAUAAGCAAUCAGUGAAAUAUCACCAGUUUUGUAAAAAUAUUACAGUUCAUAAGGAAGAGCUCAUCUCGAAUAAUGAUAAGCUACUCCUUUCUGUAUAGAUUUACACUAACCCCUCAUUUAUGUUAGAAUAAAACUUAAGAUUGUAUUACAUCCAUGAAUGUAGAGCUAGAACCAGGAAAAAAUAUAGAGGGAUAAAAACCAUAAUUGCUGAAAUAAAACUAGAUCCAUGACCCCAAUCAUACAUUAGACACUAUAGAAACAAGUUUUGGUAAAGGAAAAGUCUAACUUAAUACAUUCCAUCAGAACUAAGAAAAUGAGAAAGUGAGUAAAACAAUGAGAAAGAACAAUGUUUAGAGAUCCAAAGAUCUAAAUUUUAAUAAGAAACUUCUAGGUAAAAGAUGAAAAUUCAAUGGACAAAUGGAAUAAAAGCAAAAUAUAACACAAACUAACUUUUCUAAGUGAAAGAAAGAUGUGAAUCUAGAACUCAAAAAGACAGGUCAGGUACACAACAAUUAUUUUUAAAGAUAAAGGAAACUUGUCUACUAACAUGUUAGCCAAAAAGAGGUUUGGGAUGGAAUGGAGGCUAGUGGAUAAUUCUCCUAAAGGAUGAAAUCAUACUGAAUCCAACAUGUUACCAUCUUAAAGAUGUAAACAUGAUAUUAUGAAGUUUGUCCCACAUAUUUCUUUCAUUCACUGAACAAAAACUCAAGGCUAAAUUUGUGACAAAUUUUUAACGAUUUAGGACUUUAUGAAAACUAUACACAUUUAUUUUCUGAGCUCAUUUUGUUGUUAUGC